rnacentral:rRNA from 1 species
AAUCUUGCGCAAUGGGCGAAAGCCUGACGCACCCAUCCCGCGUGAAUGAUGAAGGUCUUAGGAUUGGAAAAUUCUUUCACCGGGGACGAUAAUGACGGUACCCGGAGAAGAAGCCCCGGCUAACUUCGUGCCAGCAGCCGCGGUAAGACGAAGGGGGCGAGCGUUGCUCGGAAUUACUGGGCGUAAAGGCCGCGUAGGCGGAUCGUUAAGUCAGGGGUGAAAUCCCGGGGCUAAACCUCGGAAUUGCCCUUGAUACUGGCGAUCUUGAGUAUGAGAGAGGUAUGUGGAACUCCGAGUGUAGAGGUGAAAUUAGUAGAUAUUCGGAAGAACACCAGUGGCGAAGGCGACAUACUGGCUCAUUACUGACGCUGAGGCGCGAAAGCGUGGGGAGCAAACA